rnacentral:snRNA from 1 species
UUCUCUUCAUGUUGCAAAAAUCUUUUGCCUUUUACUAAAGAUUUCCAUGGAGAGAA